rnacentral:lncRNA from 1 species
AUAUAGAAUCAUUUGGUUUCUCACUUUCGCUUCUUCAUUUGAUUGCGAAUGACCGACUGAGGUGAGUUUGUGAGUGACGUGAAAUCUUGUACAAAAUUUUUUGAACUUCUUAUUGUUGAAUUAUCGACCAUUAUCGAUGAUGAUGGUAUAUGGCAAUCUGAAUCGAUAUAUGAUGGACUUCUGAAUAAAAUCUUUCAUUUUUUUCUCAAUAAUUUGUGCUAGGGGUUUGACCUCCACCUAUUU